rnacentral:rRNA from 1 species
UGGCUGUCGUCAGCUCGUGCCGUGAGGUGUUGGGUUAAGUCCCGUAACGAGCGCAACCCUUGUCCUUAGUUACCAGCACGUUAUGGUGGGCACUCUAAGGAGACUGCCGGUGCAAACCGGAGGAAGGUGGGGAUGACGUCAAGUCAUCAUGGCCCUUACGGCCUGGGCUACACACGUGCUACAAUGGUCGGUACAAAGGGUUGCCAAGCCGCGAGGUGGAGCUAAUCCCAUAAAACCGAUCGUAGUCCGGAUCGCAGUCUGCAACUCGACUGCGUGAAGUCGGAAUCGCUAGUAAUCGUGAAUCAGAAUGUCACGGUGAAUACGUUCCCGGGCCUU